GACGAACGCUGGCGGCGUGCUUAACACAUGCAAGUCGAACGGAAAGGCCCUGCUUUUGUGGGGUGCUCGAGUGGCGAACGGGUGAGUAACACGUGAGUAACCUGCCCUUGACUUUGGGAUAACUUCAGGAAACUGGGGCUAAUACCGGAUAUGAGCUCCUGCUGCAUGGUGGGGGUUGGAAAGUUUCGGCGGUUGGGGAUGGACUCGCGGCUUAUCAGCUUGUUGGUGGGGUAGUGGCUUACCAAGGCUUUGACGGGUAGCCGGCCUGAGAGGGUGACCGGCCACAUGGGGACUGAGAGACGGCCCAGACUCCUACGGGAGGCAGCAGUGGGGAAUAUUGCACAAUGGGCGGAAGCCUGAUGCAGCAACGCCGCGUGCGGGAUGACGGCCUUCGGGUUGUAAACCGCUUUCGCCUGAGACGAAGCGUGAGUGACGGUAAUGGGUAAAGAAGCACCGGCUAACUACGUG
rnacentral:rRNA from 1 species